rnacentral:rRNA from 1 species
ACGCUCGACACCUACGGGAUGCAGCAGUGGGGAAUAUUGCACAAUGGGGGAAACCCUGAUGCAGCGACGCCGCGUGAGCGAAGAAGUAUCUCGGUAUGUAAAGCUCUAUCAGCAGGGAAGAAGAUGACGGUACCUGACUAAGAAGCACCGGCUAAAUACGUGCCAGUAGCCGCGGUAAUCUGAGCGGGCUGGCAAGGC